rnacentral:rRNA from 1 species
UACGGGGGGGGGCAAGCGUUGUUCGGAUUUACUGGGCGUAAAGGGCGCGUAGGCGGACAUUUAAGUCGGGGGUGAAAGCCCGGGGCUCAACCUCGGAAUUGCCUCCGAUACUGGAUGUCUUGAGUGUGAGAGAGGUGUGUGGAACUCCGAGUGUAGAGGUGAAAUUCGUAGAUAUUCGGAAGAACACCAGUGGCGAAGGCGACACACUGGCUCACUACUGACGCUGAGGCGCGAAAGCCAGGGGAGCAAACGGG